GACGAACGCUGGCGGCGUGCUUAACACAUGCAAGUCGAACGGAAAGGCCCUGCUUUUGUGGGGUGCUCGAGUGGCGAACGGGUGAGUAACACGUGAGUAACCUGCCCUUGACUUUGGGAUAACUUCAGGAAACUGGGGCUAAUACCGGAUAGGAGCUCCUGCUGCAUGGUGGGGGUUGGAAAGUUUCGGCGGUUGGGGAUGGACUCGCGGCUUAUCAGCUUGUUGGUGGGGUAGUGGCUUACCAAGGCUUUGACGGGUAGCCGGCCUGAGAGGGUGACCGGCAACAUUGGGACUGAGAUACGGCCCAGACUCAGACGGGAGGCAGCAGUGGGGAAUAUUGCACAAUGGGCGGAAGCCUGAUGCAGCAACGCCGCGUGCGGGAUGACGGCCUUCGGGUUGUAAACCGCUUUCGCCUGUGACGAAGCGUGGGUGACGGUAAUGGGUAAAGAAGCACCGGCUAACUACGUG
rnacentral:rRNA from 1 species